UAUGUUUGUAAGGCCCAACCACUUAAACCAACUUUUUCUUGGGCCUGAUAGCAAAACCCUAUUUUUUCUCCUUACCCCCAUUUCCCAUCACCCUCCAUCACGCCGCUACAUCUUUCUCUUUCACUUUCCUCUCAUCUUAUUUUUCUCCCAGUGCAAAAAGCGUUGAUGCAACCUCCUUAAUGCUGACGGUCGGUUCUUCCUCCUCCUUAUACCGGCGUUUAAGGAGCAAAAAACGUUGAUGCCACCAUCAAUAAAGCUCAUAUUUAAGAAUUUGAUGGUCAAUUUUGACCAUGAAAACUCUAGAAAUCUAGAGUUUCUUGGUUAAAUUUGGCCAAAAAGCCAAAAUUACAGUGUUUGAAAAGAUAUAUUUCCUUUCUAUUUUAUUUUUAAUGAUUUUACAGGUUUUUGGUGGGGUGAUUAUGAGUUAGUUCGUGGUGAAUGGUGAUUUUGGGUUUAGCUUGAGUAGUUUUGAGAUUUUUCUUUGGUGGCCAGGGUUUUUUACCGGUGGGUUUGUGGUGUUGGUAUUGUUUUUCUCGUUUUUUUUUUAUUAUUAUAAUUUGAAUGUUGAAUUGGGUGAAUUUAUUUUUGGUUUAACUCUAAUCUAUGGUUAUAUUUUCUAUCUUUUUUACCCUCUAAUUAUUUGUUGAAAUGCCUCUGAGAAUUUGGUUUUUUUUAAAACUUAAUUUAAUUCAAAGGAUAUAAAACUAGCGAUGGCGACGAAGACGAUGAUAACAGUGGUGCAGUGUAAUGACAAAGAUAAUAGCGAAAGGUUCUUUAGUUUGAGGUGCAGUAUUUCUCCUCCUGUUGAUUGUGUUUUUCAAUUAAAUUUUAUAUUUAAGCCUCAAGUUUAUUGUUAAUAUCUCAUUUUCUUUGGAUUGUGGGAGUAUUCUGGGUAGUUGUUGAAGAUUGAUCACCAUUGCAGUUCAAUUGUUUCAGAUCUACCUACUUUAUGGCAUCACAACACACAAAGCAAAUGGAGUACUCAAGUCUUAAUUUAGCUCAUCAAUUCUGCCAAUUUUUUUUGAUGUAAUUGUAAAUAUAAAUUUUCAUAAAUUCAAUACAGUUUUUUUGUUAGGAUUUUA